rnacentral:rRNA from 1 species
AGCUGAGGCCGACAGGCGUAGGCGAUGGAUAACAGGUUGAUAUUCCUGUACCACCUAUAAUCGUUUUAAUCGAUGGGGGGACGCAGUAGGAUAGGCGAAGCGUGCGAUUGGAUUGCACGUCUAAGCAGUAAGGCUGAGUAUUAGGCAAAUCCGGUACUCAUUAAGGCUGAGCUGUGAUGGGGAGAAGACAUUGUGUCUUCGAGUCGUUGAUUUCACACUGCCGAGAAAAGCCUCUAGAUAGAAAAUAGGUGCCCGUACCGCAAACCGACACAGGUAGUCAAGAUGAGAAUUCUAAGGUGAGCGAGCGAACUCUCGUUAAGGAACUCGGCAAAAUGACCCCGUAACUUCGGGAGAAGGGGUGCUCUUUAGGGUUAACGCCCAGAAGAGCCGCAGUGAAUAGGCCCAAGCGACUGUUUAUCAAAAACACAGGUCUCUGCUAAACCGUAAGGUGAUGUAUAGGGGCUGACGCCUGCCCGGUGCUGGAAGGUUAAGAGGAGUGGUUAGCUUCUGCGAAGCUACGAAUCGAAGCCCCAGUAAACGGCGGCCGUAACUAUAACGGUCCUAAGGUAGCGAAAUUCCUUGUCGGGUAAGUUCCGACCCGCACGAAAGGCGUAACGAUUUGGGCACUGUCUCAACGAGAGACUCGGUGAAAUCAUAGUACCUGUGAAGAUGCAGGUUACCCGCGACAGGACGGAAAGACCCCGUGGAGCUUUACUGUAGCCUGAUAUUGAAAUUCGGCACAGCUUGUACAGGAUAGGUAGGAGCCUUUGAAACGUGAGCGCUAGCUUACGUGGAGGCGCUGGUGGGAUACUACCCUAGCUGUGUUGGCUUU